rnacentral:rRNA from 1 species
UACGAAGGGGGCUAGCGUUGCUCGGAAUGACUGGGCGUAAAGGGCGCGUAGGCGGUUCAUACAGUCAGAUGUGAAAUUCCUGGGCUCAACCUGGGGGCUGCAUUUGAUACGUGUGGGCUUGAGUGGGGAAGAGGGUCGUGGAAUUCCCAGUGUAGAGGUGAAAUUCGUAGAUAUUGGGAAGAACACCGGUGGCGAAGGCGGCGACCUGGUCCUUGACUGACGCUGAGGCGCGAAAGCGUGGGGAGCAAACAGG